GCAAUGGGCCCGAAACCGGGUGACCUACCCAUGAUCAGGCUGAAGUGAAAGUAAAAUUUCAUGGAGGGCCGAACCGACCUCCGUUGAAAAGGCGGCGGAUGAAUUGUGGGUAGCGGAGAAAUUCCAAUCGAACUCGGAGAUAGCUGGUUCUCCCCGAAAUAGCUUUAGGGCUAGCCUCAUAUUAGAUACCCGGAGGUAAAGCACUGAAUGGCCUAGCGCCCGAGAGGGUAGCGAAGCCUAUCAAACUAAGAAUGCCGGAGUAUUGAUGUAUGGGAGUCAGACAGUGUGAGAUAAAUCUCAUUGUCAAAAGGGAAACAGCCCAGAUCUACAGCUAAGGUCCCAAAUUGUAUCUAAGUGGAAAACGAUGUGGAAAUACGCAGACAACCAGGAUGUUGGCUCAGAAGCAGCCACUCAUUUAAAGAGUGCGUAAUAGCUCACUGGUCGAGCGUCUCUGCGCGGAAAAUUUAACGGGGCUAAGAUACAAACCGAAGCUUAGGCUGCACGUAAGUGCGGGGUAGGGGAGCGUUGUGUAAGCGGAGAAACAGUAGCGUAAGCGGCUGUGGAGUUUACAGAAGUGAGAAUGCCGGAAUGAGUAGCGCGAAUGUGGUGAGAAUCCACAUGGCCGGAAACCUCAGGUUUUUGGAGGAAGGUUCGUCCGCUCCAAGUUAGGCGGGAGCUAAGGUGAGGCCGAAAGGCGUAGCCGAUGCACAGACGGUAGAGAUUCCGUCCCCACCGAAAGAUUUAAGCACAGGGACACUUUUUGAAGGUCGGAGCCAGGUGUUGGUUCUGGUAGUGAUCGAGGGAAAUUUAGUACCGAAGUCCGGCUGGAUAAGAGGCGAGAAAAGCUGUGUGUAUAUCUAAGGUGCCCGUACCGCAAACCGACACAGGUAGGUAGGAAGAAGAUUCUAAGGCCAACGGGAGAAGGGUUGUUAAGGAACUCGGCAAGUUGACCCCGUAACUUCGGAAUAAGGGGUGCUCACGAGAGUGAGCCGCAGAGAAUAGGCCCAGGCAACUGUUUACCAAAAACACAGGUUUGUGCUAAAUCGAAAGAUGACGUAUACGAGCUGACGCCUGCCCGGUGCUGGAAGGUUAAAAGGAGAUGUGCAAGCAUUGAAUUGAAGCCCCAGUGAACGGCGGCCGUAACUAUAACGGUCCUAAGGUAGCGAAAUUCCUUGUCAGGUAAGUUCUGACCCGCACGAAAGGCGUAAUGAUUUGGGCACUGUCUCAACAGCCCGCCCGGCGAAAUUGUAGUACCGGUGAAGAUGCCGGUUACCCGCGACAAGACGGAAAGACCCCAUGGAGCUUUACUGUAGCCUGAUAUUGGGUUUCGGUGUUGCAUGCACAGGAUAGAUGGGACACUGGGAAGCGGAUGCUUUGGCGUUCGUGGAGUGGACGUUGGGAUACCAUCCUUGCGACAUUGGAAUUCUAACCUGCGCCUCUGAAUCGAGGCGGGGGACAUUGUCAGGUGGGCAGUUUGACUGGGGCGGUCGCCUCCUAAAAAGUAGCGGAGGCGUUCAAAGGUUCGUUCGAUCUGGACGGAAACCAGAUGAAUGAGUGCAAACGCAUAAACGAGCCUGACUGCGAGACUGACGGGUCGAGCAGAGACGAAAGUCGGAGUUAGUGAUCCGGUGGUAUGUGAGUGGAAAUGCCAUCGCUCAACGGAUAAAAGCUACCCUGGGGAUAACAGGCUGAUCUCCCCCAAGAGUCCACAUCGACGGGGAGGUUUGGCACCUCGAUGUCGGCUCAUCGCAUCCUGGGGCUGAAUUCGGUCCCAAGGGUUUGGCUGUUCGCCAAUUAAAGCGGUACGCGAGCUGGGUUCAGAACGUCGUGAGACAGUUCGGUCCCUAUCUGUCGUGGGCGCAGGAUAUUUGAAAGGCGCUGUCCCUAGUACGAGAGGACCGGGAUGGACGAACCUCUGGUGCACCAGUUGUCACGCCAGUGGCACAGCUGGGCAGCUAUGUUCGGAUCGGAUAAACGCUGAAAGCAUCUAAGCGUGAAGCCGGCCUUAAGAUAAGAUAUCCCACUGAGUCAAUCAGGUAAGACCCCUUGA
rnacentral:rRNA from 1 species